UACGUAGGGUGCAAGCGUUGUCCGGAAUUAUUGGGCGUAAAGAGCUCGUAGGCGGUUUGUCACGUCGGAUGUGAAAACCCGAGGCUUAACCUCGGGCCUGCAUUCGAUACGGGCUGACUAGAGUUCGGUAGGGGAGACUGGAAUUCCUGGUGUAGCGGUGAAAUGCGCAGAUAUCAGGAGGAACACCGGUGGCGAAGGCGGCAUCCUGGACCGAUACUGACGCUGAGGAGCGAAAGCCAGGGGAGCAAACGGG
rnacentral:rRNA from 1 species